GUUGAUAAAGAAUUUUAAAAGUAAUUUUUAAAAGCUACUUUAAUGUUUCUGAGUUACAUUUCCUUUCCUUCUUAUUUUUGGCAGUCUAUUGUAUAUUGAGAGAACCUUGACUGUGCCUGCUACAGCAACAAUUUGCAGAAUGGAUCUUUAUUGAGCUCUAAUAAGGACACUACUCCGGUAUUUCUUUGUGGUUUUUCAGGCAUCCUACCUCUUCAGUCCUCCAGCUGCUAACUGUCUUCUUUGUCAAAUGGCUCUGAUUCUUCUUUUUCAGGAAGUUCUGCAUUAAGAUGAUGAAAGUUGUGGUCCUGCUUCUCUUUGCCAUAUUGCUUUCUGCCAAGCAUGCCAGUGCUCAGUCAUGUUGCGGCAUUGAUAAUCUGAUUGACCAGAAGAUCCAGGCAGCGGUUAAAGCUGCAGUGUCUGCUGCCACCUCAAAGGCCCAGCUGUUUUGCCUAAACGUAUCAUCAAGAGGAGCAGAUGUCUCCUGCCCUUCAGGUGAGAUGUCCAGGUGAAGUGCUGGGGUUGGGAGGAAAUCAGAUGUUGGGG
rnacentral:lncRNA from 1 species